UGCGCAGGCGGUCUGUUAAGCAGGGUGUGAAAGCCCCCGGCUCAACCGGGGAAUUGCGCCCUGAACUGGCAGGCUGGAGUGAGAUAGAGGUGUGUGGAACUUCCGGUGGAGCGGUGAAAUGUGUUGAUAUCGGAAGGAACGCCAGAGGCGAAAGCGACACACUGGGUCUCAACUGACGCUGAGGCAAAGACCAGGGAGCAAACG
rnacentral:rRNA from 1 species